ACUUAAAUAGCUUAAUUUAUAAAGCGUAACUCUGAAGAAGUUGAGAUAGGUUAUUAAACCUUUUAAGUA
rnacentral:tRNA from 1 species